rnacentral:rRNA from 1 species
UCGACCCCUUUAACCAUACUGAGAACUUCUAUAAAAUUAUAGAACCUUUUAUGCUAAAACUAGUAACAAGAGGUAACCCCUCUCUACAAUGUAGGUAUACGCCAGCAAGAACCCCCCACUGGCAACUGACAGUCCUAAAUAGAAGUAGCAACCCCCCAAGAAAACCCUACUCCACCUCACUGUUAACCUAAUACCAGGACAUUUCAAGAAAGAUUAAAAGAAAGAGAAGGAACUCGGCAAACAUUAGCCCCGCCUGUUUACCAAAAACACCGCCUCUUGUUCCUAUAAGAGGUCUAGCCUGCCCAGUGACUUCUGUUUAACGGCCGCGGUAUCCUAACCGUGCAAAGGUAGCGUAAUCACUUGUCUUCUAAAUAAAGACCAGUAUGAAAGGCAUCACGAGGACUAAACUGUCUCCUCUCCCUAAUCAGUGAACCUAAUAACCCCGUGAAGAAGCGGGGAUUUUUAUAUAAGACGAGAAGACCCUAUGGAGCUUAAAACAUCACACACCUGCCACCCCAUUUUAUUUACCCAGGUUCCUCCCCCGUGGCACCCUGAUAGUAUGUUUUUGGUUGGGGUGACCGCGGAGAAAAACCCAUCCUCCACAAUGAAGGGGACUUCCCUAAACAGUAAGCCACAACUUUAUGUAUCAGCAAACUGACAUCCAUUGACCCAAUAUAUUUGAUUAACGAACCAAGUUACCCUAGGGAUAACAGCGCAAUCCACUUUGAGAGCCCCUAUCGACAAGUGGGCUUACGACCUCGAUGUUGGAUCGGGGUAUCCUGGUGGUGCAGCCGCUACU